UCCAGUUGAUCCUGCUGGGGGUUGCUGCUAUUGGGAUUCGACUAAGCCAUGCAAGUCUAGGGGUUCUUCGGAACACCGGCAAAAUGCUCAGUAACACGUCAUUAAUCUGCCAUCAGGUCUAGGAUAGCCUUGGGAAACUGAGAGUAAACCUGGAUAGGAAAUGCUUUCUGGAAUGAUGCAUUUCUUAAAAGCAAUGCCUGAUAAUGAGAUGGCGGCGGAUUAGGCUGUUGGUGGGGUAACGGCCCACCAAACCUAAGAUCCGUACGGGCCUUGAGAGAGGUAGCCCGGAGAAGGUCACUGAGAAACUGGACCUAGCCCUACGGGGUGCAGCAGGCGCGAAACCUCUACAAUGCACGCAAGUGUGAUAGGGGGAUCCCAAGUCCUCAUGUUUUCAUGGGCUUUUGCCAAGAGUAAAAACCUUGGCGAAUAAGGGGUGGGUAAGACUGGUGCCAGCCGCCGCGGUAACACCAGCGCCCCAAGUGGCAGCCGCGUUUAUUGGGCCUAAAGCGUUCGUAGCCGGUUAAGUUAAUCUUUUGUGAAAUUGUCAAGCUCAACUUGACACCGUGCAGAAGACACUGCUUAACUAGGAACCGGGAGGAGUCAGAAGUAUUCCGGGGGGAGCGGUAAAAUGUUAUAAUCCUCGGAAGACUACCUGUGGCGAAGGCGUCUGACCAGAACGGAUUCGACGGUGAGGAACGAAAGCUAGGGGAGCAAAACGGAUUAGAUACCCGAGUAGUCCUAGCUGUAAACUCUGCAAGCAAGGUGUUGCAUAUUCUACAUGAAUGUGCAGUACCGAAACGAAGGUGUUAAGCUUGCCGCCUGGGAAGUACGGUCGCAAGACUGAAACUUAAAGGAAUUGGCGGGGGAGCACUACAAGGGGUGCGGCGUGCGGUUUAAUCUAACUCCACACAGAGAAUCUCACCAGGGGCGACGGCAGAAUGAAAGUCAUGCUGAAGACAUUACUUGACGAGCCGAGAGGUAGUGCAUGGCCGCCGUCAGCUCGUGCCGUAAGGUGUCCUGUUAAGUCAGGCAACGAGCAAGACCUGUGUCCACAAUUGCCAUCGGGUCCUUUAGGACGACUGGGCACAUUGUGGAGACUGCCUCGGAAACGAGGAGGAAGGUGCAGGCUACGGUAGGUCUGUAUGCUCCGAAUCUCCUGGGCUACACGCGCGCAACAAUGGUAGAGACAAUGGGAUACGACUCCGAAAGGAGAAGUUAAUCCUCGAAACUCUAUCUAAGUUCAGAUUGAGGAUUGUAACUCAUCCUCAUGACGCUGGAAUCCCUAGUAAUGGGACGUCAUCAGCGUCCCGUGAAUAUGUCCCUGCUCCUUGCACACACCGCCCGUCAAACCACUCGAGCAGGGUUUAGGUGAGUAUCAGUUUUUUGAUUGAUCCGAACCUAAGUUCAGCAAGAUGGGUUAAGUCGUCACAAGGUC
rnacentral:rRNA from 1 species